CGCGGCCUAUCAGCUUGUUGGUGAGGUAACGGCUCACCAAGGCAUCGACGGGUAGCUGGUCUGAGAGGACGAUCAGCCACACUGGAACUGAGACACGGUCCAGACUCCUACGGGAGGCAGCAGUGGGGAAUCUUGCACAAUGGGCGAAAGCCUGAUGCAGCGACGCCGCGUGGGGGAUGAAGGCCCUAGGGUCGUAAACCCCUUUCAGUAGGGACGAAAAUGACGGUACCUACAGAAGAAGCUCCGGCCAACUACGUGCCAGCAGCCGCGGUAAGACGUAGGGGGCGAGCGUUGUCCGGAAUUAUUGGGCGUAAAGAGCUCGUAGGCGGUUCCGUAAGUCGGAUGUGAAAACUCAGGGCUCAACCCUGAGACGCCAUCCGAUACUGCGGUGACUGGAAUCCAGUAGGGGAGUGUGGAAUUCCUGGUGUAGCGGUGAAAUGCGCAGAUAUCAGGAGGAACACCUAUGGCGAAGGCAGCACUCUGGGCUGGUAUUGACGCUGAGGAGCGAAAGCAUGGGUAGCAAACAGGAUUAGAUACCCUGGUAGUCCAUGCCGUAAACGGUGGGCACUAGGUGUGGGGACUUUCAACGGUUUCCGUGCCGAAGCUAACGCAUUAAGUGCCCCGCCUGGGGAGUACGG
rnacentral:rRNA from 1 species